UCUCUCUCUCUCUCUCUCUCUCUCUCUCUCUCUCGUUCCUUAAGCUUCUUUUUUUUCUUUUCUUUUUUGGUUCAAUCUUCAUCUCUUGAUUUCUCCCUCAUUUCUUGGCGGAUUAAGGUGCCGUUUGAGGCAAAAUGAAGCCCACUACGAGCUCUACACAUCCAUACGAACAAUUCCAGAUUUGGUGCCCUCCUUGGAGUUCGAAAUUCAAGACCCAUUUUAAGGGUUUUGUGCAAAAGGGAGGUAACGGGAAAGAAGUGGCGGAUUACUUUCCACCACAGGCCUAAUUUGGAUUAGAAGACUUUUUUUUGCUAUUUUUGUAUUAAGUCCCAUAUUUUUGUAAAAUCUUAAUUUGUUAUAUUCGGUAUAAAGGUUUGUGGACUCUUGUUAUUAUAAUUAUAUCUAUGGGGUGUAACUUUUGUAUGAGCUGUCUAAAUGUUGUAAAAUAUGGACAUUUGAUAUUAAUCUUGUAUGUUGGGACUGUAACUAUGUUAUCUGGAUGAUAUUGUAUGUGGUUGUACCACUAUGGAAUGAACUAAGUUAAGGCA